AAUAGAUACCCGGGUAGUCCACGCCGUAAACGAUGAGUGCUAAGUGUUAGAGGGUUUCCGCCCUUUAGUGCUGCAGCAAACGCAUUAAGCACUCCGCCUGGGGAGUACGGCCGCAAGGCUGAAACUCAAAGGAAUUGACGGGGGCCCGCACAAGCGGUGGAGCAUGUGGUUUAAUUCGAAGCAACGCGAAGAACCUUACCAGGUCUUGACAUCCUCUGACACUCCUAGAGAUAGGACUUUCCCCUUCGGGGGACAGAGUGACAGGUGGUGCAUGGUUGUCGUCAGCUCGUGUCGUGAGAUGUUGGGUUAAGUCCCGCAACGAGCGCAACCCUUGAUCUUAGUUGCCAGCAUUCAGUUGGGCACUCUAAGGUGACUGCCGGUGACAAACCGGAGGAAGGUGGGGAUGACGUCAAAUCAUCAUGCCCCUUAUGACCUGGGCUACACACGUGCUACAAUGGAUGGUACAAAGGGCUGCAAGACCGCGAGGUUUAGCCAAUCCCAUAAAACCAUUCUCAGUUCGGAUUGCAGG
rnacentral:rRNA from 1 species